rnacentral:misc_RNA from 1 species
GGAGUAAAAGUCGUAACAAGGUUUCCGUAGGUGAACCUGCGGAAGGAUCAUUAACACAUCCUUUUCUUCAAAUCUGCAACCGGUGCACUUUAGAUCCUAUCAGGCUUUGGCUUGAGAGCAAUGUCAGGUUUUUUGCUUCUCUCUCUGAGAGAAGGAAAGAAUGGCUCUCAAGAUGUUUGCCCAUGUUGUAGUGUGUCGUGCAUGCACGGCACGCUACUUCCACGGUGAGGUGAUACACUGACUUGAUAGGAGCCCACAGCCUCUGUCAUGGCUGGCCCUUUUUUUCUUUUAACCAUACCUUCUAAGCACUUAGAAUGCUGUGUUGUAGAUCUGGUGUAUCUAAUAAAUGCAUCUCCUGCUACUCAGCGACCCUUGAGCAAGUCCUCCGGGCCUUUGUUCAUUGGAAUCAAAAACACAACUCUUAACAGCGGAUAUCUCGGUUCUC